CACGUAGGGCGCGAGCGUUGUCCGGAAUUAUUGGGCGUAAAGAGCUCGUAGGCGGCCUGUUGCGUCCGCUGUGAAAGCCCCGGGGGCUUAACCCCCUGGUCGGCAGUGGAUACGGGGCAGGCUAGAGGUAGGUAGGGGGAGAAUGGAAUUCCCCGGUGUAGCGGUGAAAUGCGCAGAUAUCGGGAGGAACACCGGUGGCGAAGGCGGCUCUCUGGACCGAGACUGACGCUGAGGCGCGAAAGCGUGGGGGAGCAAACAGG
rnacentral:rRNA from 1 species